UUUACCUGUGACUUGGUUGGAAAACCUGAGCUAUCAUCCUCUCUCUCUGUGUAGAGAGCGGUCCACCCACGAUGCUUGCUGGACCGAAUAUAAGAGGUUGGUGCUUGUGUUCGUGACCUUCUGAUACUGAAGCUCUUCCUUCUAACACAUCUUGUGCAAAUGUGGCACAAGUGAUUGGUUGUGCUGGGUUAGAGUACCGUACCCUCGCAGCAGCGUCUCUGUGCCAGGUUGUUGAUGCUCUAAUGACAUUGAAAAAAUUGGAAUUUAAAAGUAAAGUACCAAAAGUUUGUCGGUCAUCAUUUUCCUUGUUGUCUUUGCAAGGCUGAUAAAAUGAGGAAAAUGAUAAGAUGAGAAACAAACAGAAGUACUGUCGUGAUAAAAAAAAAAAACUUAAACUGCAAUGACAAAACUAGAAGCAUGCAAACUUUAAGGCUAUGCCAUUCUUCUAACAGCAAUAGAGUUAGCAACCAUAUUUGCCUCUUUAACCAGAUACCUAGGUAUUCACUAGGCUUUUUCUGAUAUGUAUUUUGUUUUAAAAUAAUUUUAAGAAGGAAAAGAGACUUACUUCAAGCGAACGGCUAUAGAAAGUCCAAAAGGCACUGCCACUACUACUGUAGCAAUCUGAAAAAUUAAUAUUUUGGCGACAAGGUUACAAGAAAAGACCAUAUAAUAUUACUGUAGCCAUGAAGAUAAAGUUCAGCAUUCCCGUACCCCAAAACUCAGGGAUGUGAUCACAAAUUCUGUUGCUUCAUCAGCAGUAGUGAUUCCAUAAAUAAACAUUGGAGUUCCAUCUGAUUUUUUGGUCCAACCACUAAAGUAUCUAGAAAUAAAAGGGUUGUUAGGUCCAGGAUGGAGCUGGAGAUCUUAGAUCUGACUGCCGAACAUAAGCACAAUGGGUACUUGUAAAAGAAGAUAGACUUACCGGCCUAAUCGAACACUACAGGCAACUGAAGCGAACAAAACGAAGGACCAGCUGGCAGAAAUCGCAAGCCAUUUCAGGUAUCCCUAGUAAAACGAAUCACAUUUGAUAUAUGAACAAACUAAUCGCAAGCCAAUCAUUCAUUAUAUUCAUCUAUAUGCACAUUGUUGGCAUCCUACAAAACCAAGUUUAAUCGCUUUUUAAAAUCUCUAAAGGGAAUAAAAUUUGUGAUGAGCUUGAUUUUGUGUUUACCUGUGACUUGGUUGGAAAACCUGAGCUAUCAUCCUCUCUCUCUGUGUAGAGAGCGGUCCACCCACGAUGCUUGCUGGACCGAAUAUAAGAGGUUGGUGCUUGUGUUCGUGACCUUCUGAUACCGAAGCUCUUCCUUCUAACACAUCUUGUGCAAAUGUAGCACAAGUGAUUGGUUGUGCUGGGUUAGAGUACCGUACCCUCGCAGCAGCGUCUCUGUGCCAGGUUUCAGCUUUCUUUGUACGAUCAUCAAGAGCAUCCCGA
rnacentral:lncRNA from 1 species